GUGAGUUUUAAAAGUGCCACCCACGAAAUCGAGUUUGUAGCGCACGCACACAGAAAACCGAGUGGAAAUAAGGACUAUGCGCACGCACUCGCAGAUGAGAAUUAUUAAUCGAUUGCGAGGAGAGCUUCCCACCAACACGAUCCGCGUUCAUAGUCUCGUGCCGCCGACAUCCCUGCCCAACGGACGGACGGACGGCGUCGCUGCGCUACCCUCGUACUUCGCAGAAAUCCAGAUUUUCCGCUUCGCUUUCGAGCCAUGGGUCCAAAAAUGAAAUGCGCCACUUUAAUAUUCUUGCAAUGGGCACCAUCGGAGCGUGUCACCUCACCUGGCUACUCGCCCAAAAUGAUCCGAUGGUUUCCUCCAUCGGCCGACUCGCAACACAAUCAGCUUGGCAGCAAGUCCUAAUGAGCAUUUCUGCUUCUCUCGCAGUCGUCUCUUUUUUCUGGACGCUUUUGGC